rnacentral:rRNA from 1 species
GGCGGACGGGUGAGUAAUAUAUCGGAACGUGUCCAAUAAUGGGGGAUAACUAGUCGAAAGGCUGGCUAAUACCGCAUACGCCCUGAGGGGGAAAGCUGGGGAUCUUCGGACCUAGCGUUAAUGGAGCGGCCGAUACCUGAUUAGCUAGUUGGUGGGGUAAAAGCCUACCAAGGCAACGAUCAGUAGCUGGUCUGAGAGGACGACCAGCCACACUGGGACUGAGACACGGCCCAG